rnacentral:lncRNA from 1 species
CAAUGAGGAGAACUGCAGUGCGUGUUUGAGCUGAUGGAAUACUCUCCCACCUGGGGCUUCAAUGAGCCUGACUGGUUUUACUGCUGACAGUAAAUUUGUCUUUCCUUUCCCCUGACAGGUGAGAAGCCAUCCUCUCUUGAAUGGGGGCUCCCACUGUACAUCUGGCACCCACUUCACAGAUUCUGGGGGAUGUCAACACCAGCACUGCUGAGCUGUGUGACCUUGAGCAAGACAGUUAGCCUCUCUGAACCUCAGUGUCCUUCUCUGUAGGCUGGAGAUUGAUAUACCUUCAUUAUCGGGGUAUGAGAGUGUUAUAAGGUGGGAUGGUGGAACACGCUGACUGGUCUGGGCUAUUCAAGAUCCAUGAACUGGAAGAUGCUUUCUUAUAACUCAGAGAAAAGAGAUGAAAAUGAAUCAAAGAACAGGAAGGAGACAAGCUCAGGAGUGUGAAAACGGAUUAAUACGGAUUCCAUUAGCAGAAGCAGUUUUGGUGGGAAAAAGAUGAAGGGUGAAGAGGACUUUUACCUUAAAACAAUGAAGAGUCACCCUAAGAAGGAUGUGUGGAAGACUUGACUGGAGGAUCAAAAUGUGUCGGGGGAAGGUGUACAAGGAGGAGUAAGGACACAGAUGUCCUGACUUCACACAGUGGGGGAUUAGAAGCCACCAUCAAACACAGAUGAAACAGGAAUAAAAGUAGUAGUACAUUACUUAAGCUUUAAAAGGGUAAGACUCCUGGGAAUUUGGAAGCUGAGACUUGAGGAGCAGAGGCAUUUAGCUGUGUAAACACAGAGCUUCAGUGGCAGCACCCUAAAUGCUUAGCUGAUAGAUCCGGAAUUAAAUACAGACCUAGAAACUGGAGUUGGAAAACUUCCUGGCAGCACUCCUUCCCUGCCAUCCCGGUGAUCCCCUUCUGGAUGGAGGGUGUGGAGCUCAGCACAUUCACGUCUGCAGAGUCUUGCUCCAUUGCCCUGGCUGGAGUGCAGCGGUGUGAUCCCCACUCACUGCAACCUCUGUCUCCCGGGUUCAAGCGAUUCUCCAGCCUUAGCCUCCUGAGUAGCUGGGACUACAGGCACGUGCCACCAUGCCUGGCUAAUUUUUUGUAUUUUUAGUAGAGACAGGGUUUCAUCAUGUUAGCCAGGAUGGUCUCAAUCUCCUACCUCAUGAUCCACCCGCCUCAGCCUCCCAAAGUGCUGGGAUUACAGACAUGAGCCACCAUGCCUGGCCCAGUGUUCUUUUCUUGUGCAGUCUAAUUUUGGUAUAAGGCUUUUGCUGGCUCUAUAAAAUGACAUGGAAAAUAUUUUCUCCUCUUCUACUCUCUGAAAAAGUUUGUGAAUAAUUUGUAUCAUUUGUUCUAUAAAUACACAAGAGAACUUAUCAGUGAAGUCAUCUGAAAAGGUUUUAAUCGUGAGAAGGUUAUACUGGUGAAUUUAAUUUCAUUACUACAUAUAAAACUAAUUAUGUUUCCUCUUUUUCUUGGAUAUGCUUGAAUAAUUGUGCAUUUCUAAUAUAUUUUAAUCCAAAUUGUCAAAUUUCAUCAAAAUUGUCAAAUUUCUUGGCAUACUAUCCCUGUAUUAGCCUUUUAAUGUCUGUAGAAUCUGUAGUAAUGUCUCCUAUUUUAUUUUUGGUAUUGAAUAUGUGUUUGUGUUUUUCCUUGGUCAGUCUUGCUAGUUUUAUUUACCAUUUCAAAGAAAUAAUCUACUUUAUUGAUUACCUUCGUUAUCUUUAUUAUUUCCUUACUUCUGUUAACAUUUUAUUGAAUUUGUCAUUUUUCUAGCCUUUGAGAUUGCAAGAUUAAAUUUUUUAUUUUGAAACCUUUCUGUGUUUCUAAUAUAAGCAAUUAAAGGUAUAAAAUUACUUCAAGUUCUACCUUAUAUGUAUCUCAUAAAUUUUAAAAUAUUAUAAAUUUAUUACUAUUUCAUUUAAGAUAUUUUAAAAUUUACCUUGCACUUUUUAAAAUUCAUGGCAUACUUGGAAGAUUUUGUUUAACUUUCCAACACAGUAGUGUUUUAAAAAAACAUAUUUUAUAUUUGUUAACUUCUAUUUUAACUCUAUUUAAUUUCAUCAUAGAGAAAAUACUAUGUAAUUUCAAUGCAUAACAUUUAUUGUGUCUUCUUUAAUUUCUUAACAGAUGGUCUGUCUUGGAGAAUGUUCCAUGUGCACUUGAAACAAAUAUGUAUGUUUUCUUGGAUAUAUACAGCUCAAUAGGUUAAAUUGUUUGAUAAUAUUCAGAUAUUCUUUUUCCUUACAGUUGUUUUGUCUAUUUGUUUUCUUAACCACCGGGGCAAGAAUAAAGUCUUCAGUUAUAAUUGUAAAUUUGUCUAUUUCUUCCAGUAGUUUUGUUAAAUUUGCCUAAUGUAUUUUGAAUAACUGUUUAUAUGUUGAUUCAUUUAGGAUUGUUAUGUCUUCUUGAUUAAUUGAUACUUUAUCAGUAUAAAAUAUCUGUCUUUGUCUUUAUGAAUAUUCUUUGUCUUGAAGUCUACUUUGCUUAUAAUAUAGCUGUAUUUUCUUUUUCAUGCAUAUUGUUUACAUGCCUUUUUACCUCCUUUUACUUUUCCCUACUUCUCUAUAUUUAAAGAGUAUUUCUUGUAGACACUUAGCAUAUUGCUUGCUUUUAUAUUUUUAGUGUUAACAUUAACAACAUUUUAUAUUAUUAUUGGCAUGGCUGGCUUUAAAUCUACCAUUAUAUUUAUUUUCUAUUUGCUUAUUGCUCCUUUUUUCCACUUUUGGAUUGAUAAUUUCUAGCAUUUUAUUUUUCCCUUGGCUAAAUCUCUUUGUUAGUUUUAGUAGCUUUGUGUACUUUCUGUAAUCACCAUCUCAUUCUUUCUAUUAUGAUCGUCAUACAUUUUACUUUCACAUAUGUUAAAAUGUCACCAUACAAUGUUAUUUUCUUUCUUCUAAUAAUCAAAUGUAGUUUAAGGAAUUAAGAAAUAAGGAAAAAGUAUUUCAUAUUUAAUCCAUAUAUUUGCCAUUUCUAGGUCUUUUAUUCUUUCAUGUAGACUUAUUCCUUCAUGUUGCAAUCUUCUAUCAGUUCCUUUCAGCCUGAAGAAGUAUCUUAAACAUUUCUGUGUAACAGAUCAACUUGUGAUUAUUUUCUUACUUUUGUUCAUCUAAAAAGUCUUUAUUUUUCUUUCCAUUUUGAGGGGUAUUUUCACUGGAUGUAUGCUUCUAGGUUGACAGGAUUUUCUUUCAGCAUUUUAAAGGUGUUAUUCCAUUGUCUCUGGCUUGCAAUAUCUCCGAUGAGAGAGAAGCUAUUAUGCUUAUCUUUGUUUUUCUAUAAGUAAGAGUCUUUUCCCCCUCUGUGUCUUAUCCCAUUUUGUGUUGCUCUAAAGGAAUACCUGAUGUUGGGUAAUUUAUAAAGAAAAGAGGUUUAUUUGGCUUUGGAAUUACACUUUGGAAUUAUUGGUGUCUGGAAAGUUCAAGACUGGGCAUCUGUAUCUGAUGAGGGACUCAGGCUGCUUCCAUUUCUGGCAGAAGGCAGAGGGGAGCCAAGAUCCUGUGGGGAGAGGGGAAGCAAAGGAGAGAGGAGGUGCUGGGCUCUUUUUAACAACCAGUUCUUUAAGGACCUAUUAGAGGUAGAAUUCUCUCACCCUUGAGAAAGGGCAUUAAUCAAUUCAUGAGGAAUUUGCUCCCAUGACCUGAACACCUCCCAUUAGCCCCACCUCCAACACUGUGAAUCAAAUUUCAACAUGAGGUUUGGAGGAAACAGACAACCAAACCAUAGCACUCUGGUUUGUUUAAUGUUUUUCCUCUUUAUCAUGAAUUUCCAGCAAUUAGAAUAUAAUGUUCAUUGGUGUGAUUUACUUUGAUUUUUAUCCUCCUGGAGGAUCAUUGAGCUCUUGGAUCUGAGGUUUUGUAUUUUUGACUUAAUUUGAGAUAUUUUCAGUCAUUAUUUCCUCAAAUAUUUUUAUCUGUACACUAUUUUCCUCAUCUUCUUUUGGGAUUUAUGUUUCACAUAUUUUAGAAUACUUGAUAUUGAGUUCCAAGUUACAGAAGCUCUUUUCAUUUCUUAUGACAACAUGCCCUAUACCCAAUGUAAUUAUUGAAGAAAAUUCAAUGUUUGCAUAGUAUGUAAUAGUAUGAAUGUGUAAUAAUUUACUUAUUAUAAUAAGAAGCUUCCAACAUAGAUCCCCCAAAUCUCACCUCCUGGUAUUCCCACUUGUAUGGAAUCCCUUCCUCUUGAGUAGGGGCUGGACCUAGCAACUUGCUUCUAAUGAGUAGAACACAGAAAAAUGAAUGGGAAAUCACUUCUAUGAUUAGAUUAUGAAACACUGCUAGCAGUCUCUUGCACUCUCUUGUCUCGCUCGUUAUGACAAUGUAAGCUUCAAUGUGGAGAGGCCCACAUAGCAAUAAAUGGAAGGAAGACUCUUAAAACAGCCAGAGAGUAACUGAGACCUUUGGAACUGAAUCCUACCAACAACCAUAUAAAUGAGCUUGGAUGUAGAUUCUUCUUCAGUUGAACCUUCAGAGAAAACCCCAGCCUCAGCUGCCACCUGAGAGCAGUCUUGUGAGAGGCCCCCAUUUAGAGAUCCCAGAAGAGCAACACCCAGAUAUCACAUACAUUGUGAUAUAAUAAAUCAUUACACUUUGGAAUUACACUUUGGAAUUAUUGAGUCAUUACACUUUGGAAUAAUUUGUUACACAGCAAUAGAUAACAAAUACGUUUCUUCUAUCUACUAUUUUUGGACAUGCCUCUUUCCUCUUUUAUUUGCUAUUAUAAGUAUUACUGCAUUAAAUAGCCUGGAGAAUAUAACUUCAUCUUCAGAAACUUAUUUACACAAGUGGCAUUGGUAAGUCAAAAAGUAUGAGCAGGCCUCAGUUUGGUAGUGCAUAUAAUAAAAGUUUGGAAUAAUACAAAGAAGAUUAACAUGGCCUCUACACAAAGAUAAUAUGCAAAUUCACGAAGUGAUCCAUAUUUUUUUUUACAAAGGCUUAAAACCCAUUCAAUGGAUGAAGGACAGUGUUUUCACCAAGUGGUGUUCUGUAUCUUGACUGUGGUUGUAAAUAUUAAUACAUGAACCUACACAUGGGAUUAAGUUGUACAGAACUACACAUGGGAUUAAGUUGUACAGAACUACACACACACACACACACACACACACACACACACACCAAUGAGCGUACGUAAAACUGGAGACAUCUGAAUGAGGGUGCUGAGUUGUAUCAAUGUCAGUAUGAGGUUGUGAAAUUAUACUGUGGUUUUUAAGAUGCUAUCAUUGGGGGAAACUAGGAAAAGAGUGUAUAUGAUCUAUGAUCAUUCUGUAUUAUUCCUUCCAACUAAAUGUGAAUCUAUAAUUAUCUCAAUAAACAUUGUAAUUUUUAAGUGAGA